GUGGGCUUAGCUCAGUUGGUUAGAGCGCCAGGUUGUGGCCCUGGAGGUCGUGGGUUCGAAUCCCAUAGUUCACCCCA
rnacentral:tRNA from 1 species